rnacentral:rRNA from 1 species
AUUGAACGCUGGCGGCAGGCCUAACACAUGCAAGUCGAGCGGAUGAGGGAAGCUUGCUUCCCGAUUUAGCGGCGGACGGGUGAGUAAUGCCUAGGAAUCUGCCUAUUAGUGGGGGAUAACGUUCCGAAGGGAACGCUAAUACCGCAUACGUCCUACGGGAGAAAGUGGGGGAUCUUCGGACCUCACGCUAAUAGAUGAGCCUAGGUCGGAUUAGCUAGUUGGUGGGGUAACGGCUCACCAAGGCGACGAUCCGUAGCUGGUCUGAGAGGAUGAUCAGCCACAAUGGAACUGAGACACGGUCCAGACUCCUACGGGAGACAGCUGUGGGGAAUAUGGGACACUGGGCGAAAGCCUGAACCAGCCAUGCCGCGUGUGUGAAGAAGGUCUUCGGAUUGUAAAGCACUUUAAGUUGGGAGGAAGGGUUGUAAGCUAAUAUCUUGCAGCUUUGACGUUACCAACAGAAUAAGCACCGGCUAACUCUGUGCCAGCCGCCGCCGUAAAAC